rnacentral:rRNA from 1 species
UACGUAGGGUGCAAGCGUUGUCCGGAAUUAUUGGGCGUAAAGAGCUCGUAGGCGGUCUGUCGCGUCUGUUGUGAAAAACUCGAGGCUCAACCUCGGGCUUGCAGUGGAUACGGGCAGACUAGAGUGCGGUAGGGGGAGACUGGAAUUCCUGGUGUAGCGGUGGAAUGCGCAGAUAUCAGGAGGAACACCGAUGGCGAAGGCAGGUCUCUGGGCCGAAUACGCUGAGGAGCGAAAGCUGGGGGAGCGAACAGG